UACGUAGGGUGCAAGCGUUGUCCGGAAUUAUUGGGCGUUAAAGAGCUCGUAGGCGGUUUGUUGCGUCGGUCUGUGAAAUCCCGAGGCUCAACCUCGGGUCUGCAGUCGAUACGAGCAAACUAGAGUGUUGGCAGGGGAGAUCUGGAAUUCCUGGUGAUAGCGGUGAAAUGCGCAGAUAUCAGGAGGAACACCGGUGGCGAAGGCGGGUCUCUGGGCCGAUAACUGACACUGGAG
rnacentral:rRNA from 1 species